ensembl:lncRNA
GUUUAUCUUGUUUUAAGAUAAUAAUGUCCAUGUCGACCUUUAACUUGUCUUUUUCUGCAUCAAGCUUAAGGAUCAAAUCCUUAAUGUAGCCUCUCGCUCUGUUUAUCUCAAUAAACAUAUUUUCUCCGAGUUCUUUCUGUUUAUGAAUCUCCAUCUUUGUGGUUUCCAGUUCGAUUUGCUCCCUCUUUAUAUCUUGUUGCUCUUGUUCUAAUAUGUCUCUUUGUUUCAGAAUGUCACACUUCAUCAGCUCCAAGUCCAGUUUUUCUGUCUUCAUUUUCUCACUCUCUCUGUCGAGGUCAUUUCUUUCUUGCGUUAAUUCUGCCUUCAGUUUGUUCACAUAUUCUUUGAACACCUCAAAUUUCUGCUUCCUUUGGCAUUGAAUGUUGUCUCUUUGGAUGACCAUGUCUGACCGUAUACUUAUCAGACUUUUCUUUUCCCUCUCCAUCAGCUCGGUGGAACAAGCCACACUUUCUUUCUGUACAUUUAGAGCUGCAAGCUUUUGUUUCAAUUCAGUGUACAGCUCUACUACAUCUUCACUAUGUAGUUGUAAUUUUUUCCUCUUUUCUUUCUUGUCUUCCUUCAUCCUUUUAGUCAGCGUUUUAAGUUGUCCUUUAAAAGUUUCUAUUGAUUUCAUUUCAUUCAAGAGAUGAGCUUCUCUUAUUUUCAGUUCAGACCUUUCUCCUUCCAAUCUGACCUUCUCAUUGUCCAACCUGUGUCUGUCCAUGUCAGCACUACUCUUCAUCUGACUGAGUUGUUCUUUCUCUCCAUUGAUGGAGUUAAUAUCAGCUCCAAUCUCUUCUUUCUUCUUGGUGAGAUCCUCCCUCCAAAGUUCCAGUUCCUGUCUUCCAGCAAUUACACUCGUCUUUAUUGUUUCCAGUUCUUGUUUUUGUCUAUUGGAAUCAUCUUUCUUGAGUUCUAGUUUAUCUUGUUUUAAGAUAAUAAUGUCCAUGUUGACCUUUAACCUGUCUUUUUCUGCAUCAAGCUUAAGGAUCAAAUCCUUAAUGUAGCCUCUCGCUCUGUUUAUCUCAAUAAACAUAUUUUCUCCGAGUUCUUUCUGUUUAUGAAUCUCAAUCUUUGUGGUUUCCAGUUCGAAUUGCUCCCUCUUUAUAUCUCGUUGCUCUUGUUCUAAUAUGUGUCUUUGUUUCAGAAUGUCACACUUUAUCAGCUCCAAGUCCAGUUUUUCUGUCUUCAUUUUCUCACUCUCUCUGUCGAGGUCAUUUCUUUCUUGCCUUAAUUCUGCCUUCAGUUUGUUCACAUAUUCUUU